rnacentral:rRNA from 1 species
CAACAUGACCUAAAUACCUUCAAGGCACCAGAGACCCAUCUGACCUUGGAAGCCAAGCAAGGUCACCUCUGGUUGGUCCUUGGAUGGGAGACUGUCAACAAACCCCAGGUGCUGUGUGCC